GGGGUGGCCAGCUGGGGGGGAGACCAGAGAGUAGAUGCACCCACAAGGAAGGAGAAAGAAAGCUGUCUCAUUUCCUUCUCUCUCAACCAGUCUAAGUCUUCACAACCAGCUCGCCACCUUCCACCUGAGCACCGAGGACAGAGGUAGACACCACCCGAACUGACUGUUUCCUUACACUCCCUAUACAAUGAGCUCUAACCAAUCUGCAACAAGCCGAACAAAUGUAACGCUCACUAUCUGAACUCCAUCCUUGAACUGACUAAACAGCAAUCACAUGCCACAAGUAACCCCUGAUCAAAUAUUUCUUUAUCCGUUUCUGCAGCUUUUAAUUUGCGUAUUGGGCCCCUGUCAGUGUCGGGUUCAGUGGUCAGAUGAUUGCAAGGACAUUCAUUUCAAGUGAUGCUAUAUGACCUCACAUUAAGCUACAGCUUCUGCUAUUCAUUUGGGUUAAUAGGGAACAAAUGGAGGACAUUUGUGGUAACACUUUGGCCUUCCCUUCCAUUUAGCAUUCAUAUAAACAUGGUUUGUAAUGUGAUAUAAUGUAGUUGUAGAUGGAUGUAAGGACAUUUUAAGUGAUUAUUGAUGAGCAUUUUUUGUCAAUAAUUCUAACUUCUAUGUGUUUUAAUAUGUUGUCAUGUGUUAUUUGUUUAUCUCCCAGCCUCAGGAAGUGUUACAGUUGCUGAAGAGUAAUAAUGUCUAUUUACAUCUACAUUAUAGAAUGUUAGAAACCAUUCAUGAAUGCUAAAUAGGGGGUUAAAGCAAAGUAUUACCCGUUUUUAAACUGUUAUAUCUCUUGCAGUCUUUGCACACUUGUAUAAGAAUAAUAAUGAAGAACUGAAAAAAAAAGAUGUCUAUUUUCCUAUGAAAUUCAAUGAGACGGAGAACAACAUACCUUCAAAAUUAAUCAAAUAAACAGUUUGUGGGGUUUAGUUAAACGGCAGAGUUAAAUAUUUAAUCAAAGCAACCAAGCCAGACUUAGGUUAGACAGUGUUUGCAAAUAGUUAUUUUUUUUCUUCCCAUUUCUAUAUGUGAAUUGCACAAGCACAAUUCAGUCGCUUAAUCAAUAUACUCAUGUUUCAGUGUAAUAGUCUAAAUGAUCUUUAAUCCACUGUCCUCACACACAAAAAACCUGCACAUGAGAAUGAAACUAAUUAUUUGCAAACAUCACUUGACCAGGUCUGUUUUCUAAGUCCUCCGAAGCAACAAACACUUAAAGGUUAUCACUGUUAUCGACCAAAAGCGAGGCUUCUGUGUGAAUAUGCAUGCAUCAUUGUGAUAACUGACCACAGAGGUCAUGUGUGUUGGCAUGACUUGUCUUUCCAGUUUGACACGAACCAAAUCACCAACCCUGUUUGUCUUUAACGUUAAUGUAAAGAUGAUCUCAUUGGAAUAAGAUUAAAGUGCACUUGAACAGAGCUGUGAAAAGGGUUGAAAAAACACGACCCUGUCUCCAUAUCAGAUGGCAGAUUGUGUGGUGUCCCCGUUAAACUUCGCCUGUGGUUGACCUCAUACGUGUUGCAGCCUUUGUUUGUGAAUCUGCGUUUCACCGAAUACAGUUAUUGUUUGCACUAAACUGAACUUGCCUGUUUUUACGAUGACUUUGUGUAUUUAUAUGUGUUGAAAUGCGUGCAAUAUUUAUUUUUUGUUUGUUUUGACAAUUUGAAAUAAACUGACUUCCACAGAUUACAUGUUAAAAAUCAUUAAAGAUGCAAUAAAUAGUCAUUUUAUUUUAUCAAUGGAUCACAUUAGUACUGGAGUAUGACAAAGGAUGCUUGUAAAUUAGAGCCCUAAGACAAUUUAGUGUUUUGUAUCGUUGGUUCACUGUCUACUUUUACAACAUUGUUUUCAGCAAGAGGCAAACCAAAUCAGUGACUAUACGGUGAAUGUAACAAAGCAUUCAGCCGCCACCAGUCAGGAAAUUCUCUCAGAAGUGAGCAGAGAGAAAGCUGAAUGUUUGACACAGAUUCACCAGGUGCCCUCCCAGAACUAUAAAUGCAGUCAUGAACAAAGAUUUACGUACACUUGUAAAGAAAGUGUAUCUCAUGGCAAUCUUGAGUUCCC
ensembl:lncRNA